rnacentral:lncRNA from 1 species
GGGGCCCUCCCGGGCGUGUUUCCUAGGCGCCCCCUUCCCUCGAUGAACCCUUUGAUUUCUUCCUUCUUCUCUCUCACUUCGUUCCAGCCCCCUCAACUGCCUCCUGGAGCGCCUUUUUUGUGUGCUCGCCAUCUCACGUUUGGCCCUCUCUCCAAAGCUCUGCCUUCACGAACGCCUCCAUUUGACCUUCCCCCUCCGCCACUCUCUGGUCUCCUUUGGUAGUCACAUUAUUUGGGCACCUUGAUGAGGCUUUGGGGAUUCUACUGCCGUUGCUGCCAUUAGCAGUCUCUUUGCUUGGAAGCUUAAAUGAAGGAAAUUUCUGGGAACUGGUCAAAGACUCCUGAAAUGCACCUUGAGGACUAAACAUCUCUCUCCCUCCAUCUCUGCUUGGUUACUCUGGCUCUGCAAAGUCAAGCCCAAGGCCAUCUCACCAAGGUUCUGCUGCCAUCUCCCAGAACCCCAGCUAGGACUCCCUUGCCAGAGGCUGGAGGGGGCUGAGGUUUUGGUGGACAUAUUUAAGUGAAGUGGGCAGAGUUUCAUGUAUGCUGCAAAUUGUAAGCACUUACAUUUUUAAUGUAUCCAUCUUCUGUUUCUUUUCUGUCCAACAAAGUCAGCUUUUAUCUUCCCUUUUCUCCAGGGGGAAAAAAAAAAAGAAAAACUCCAGGGUAGAAUUAUGCCUCAGGUAAGGAAAAUGUAUCUACCAUUUCCUGAGGACCUUCUACCUGUGAAUCUGC